rnacentral:rRNA from 1 species
UACAGAGGGUGCGAGCGUUGUUCGGAAUUAUUGGGCGUAAAGAGCGUGUAGGCGGCCCGAUUAGUCCGCUGUGAAAGUCCAGGGCUCAACCCUGGAAUGCCGGUGGAUACUGUCGGGCUAGAGUCCGGAAGGGGCGAGUGGAAUUCCCGGUGUAGCGGUGAAAUGCGCAGAUAUCGGGAAGAACACCCGUGGCGAAGGCGGUUCUCUGGGACGGUACUGACGCUGAGACGCGAAAGCGUGGGGAGCGAACAGG